rnacentral:rRNA from 1 species
CCAGACUCCUACGGGAGGCAGCAGUGGGGAAUAUUGCACAAUGGGCGGAAGCCUGAUGCAGCAACGCCGCGUGCGGGAUGACGGCCUUCGGGUUGUAAACCGCUUUCGCCUGUGACGAAGCGUGAGUGACGGUAAUGGGUAAAGAAGCACCGGCUAACUACGUGCCAGCAGCCGCGGUGAUACGUAGGGUGCGAGCGUUGUCCGGAUUUAUUGGGCGUAAAGGGCUCGUAGGUGGUUGAUCGCGUCGGAAGUGUAAUCUUGGGGCUUAACCCUGAGCGUGCUUUCGAUACGGGUUGACUUGAGGAAGGUAGGGGAGAAUGGAAUUCCUGGUGGAGCGGUGGAAUGCGCAGAUAUCAGGAGGAACACCAGUGGCGAAGGCGGUUCUCUGGGCCUUUCCUGACGCUGAGGAGCGAAAGCGUGGGGAGCGAACAGGCUUAGAUACCCUGGUAGUCCACGCUGUAAACGGUGGGUACUAGGUGUGGGGUCCAUUCCACGGGUUCCGUGCCGUAGCUAACGCUUUAAGUACCCCGCCUGGGGAGUACGGCCGCAAGGCUAAAACUCACAGGAAUUGACGGGGGCCCGCACAAGAGGG